UACGUAGGGCGCAAGCGUUAUCCGGAAUUAUUGGGCGUAAAGGGCUCGUAGGCGGUUUGUCGCGUCGGGAGUGAAAACACCGGGCUUAACUCGGUGCUUGCUUUCGAUACGGGCAGACUAGAGGUAUGCAGGGGAGAACGGAAUUCCUGGUGUAGCGGUGAAAUGCGCAGAUAUCAGGAGGAACACCGGUGGCGAAGGCGGUUCUCUGGGCAUUACCUGACGCUGAGGAGCGAAAGUGUGGGGAGCGAACAGG
rnacentral:rRNA from 1 species